UACAGAGGUCUCAAGCGUUGUUCGGAUUCAUUGGGCGUAAAGGGUGCGUAGGUGGCAGGGUAAGUCGGAUGUGAAAGCCCGGGGCUCAACCCCGGAAUUGCCUUUGAGACUGCAUCGCUAGAAUUGUGGAGAGGUAAGUGGAAUUCCGAGUGUAGAGGUGAAAUUCGUAGAUAUUCGGAAGAACACCAGUGGCGAAGGCGACUUACUGGACACAUAUUGACGCUGAGGUGCGAAAGCGUGGGGAGCAAACAGG
rnacentral:rRNA from 1 species